GCUCUGCUGGGAUAGCUCAGUUGGUAAAGCAUGAGAGUCUUAAUCUCAGGGUUGUGGGUUCUAGCCCCACGCUGGGCA